rnacentral:tRNA from 1 species
UGGUCGGUGGUACCGGCCUGGCCCUGCGGCGCUUGUGCCGCUGCGGGUGCCGGCGGGGCCGGCGUUCCAGAGCCGCCGAUGGCCGC